UGGCGGCGGCCUACACAUGCAAGUCGAGCGGAUGACAGGAGCUUGCUCCUGAAUUCAGCGGCGGACGGGUGAGUAAUGCCUAGGAAUCUGCCUGGUAGUGGGGGACAACGUUUCGAAAGGAACGCUAAUACCGCAUACGUCCUACGGGAGAAAGCAGGGGACCUUCGGGCCUUGCGCUAUCAGAUGAGCCUAGGUCGGAUUAGCUAGUUGGUGAGGUAAUGGCUCACCAAGGCGACGAUCCGUAACUGGUCUGAGAGGAUGAUCAGUCACACUGGAACUGAGACACGGUCCAGACUCCUACGGGAGGCAGCAGUGGGGAAUAUUGGACAAUGGGCGAAAGCCUGAUCCAGCCAUGCCGCGUGUGUGAAGAAGGUCUUCGGAUUGUAAAGCACUUUAAGUUGGGAGGAAGGGCAGUAACUUAAUACGUUGCUGUUUUGACGUUACCGACAGAAUAAGCACCGGCUAACUCUGUGCCAGCAGCCGCGGUAAU
rnacentral:rRNA from 1 species